rnacentral:lncRNA from 1 species
GCGCCGCGUUGCCCCGGGCAACGGUCUGGCGAAGCCCGCGAUUGGACCUACGGACCCGCAGGGGGCAGUCUCGCGCCGGUCUAACUCAGUAGCGGCGAACCCAGUCACAAUUCCUCAUUCUGGCGUUCAAGGACCCCCUCCUCUCCGCCCCUCGGUCACACCCCGCCCAGGGUUUGUGUCCGGUAGUACCAUCGCCCUUUGGGAUGACAAUGCUGCCUCCUGGCUCCUGGUAUCGAUCGGCCGCGCCUCAAGUGACACCUCAAGAUGAGCGAGGUCGACCCUUUAAGGGUGGAAAGAGAUAAGACCCCACACAUAAGAGGCUGUCAAUAAAUGGAGAUUGCUUCCAUC